GAGAUUAACAAAUGAACUGCUAAAUCACACCACCGAGAUCAACACCUCGGACAUCUC
rnacentral:tRNA from 1 species